CUUUGUAGGUUAAAUAUUCAUCUCAUCAAAUACUUCCAUUCUUGAUUCUUCGACAUUCUUCACACUAGCUAGAUCUAGAUCUGUAUUCCGAUUCAUCUUGAUUAUGCUCAUCCUUCCUCGCCUUCAAGUCAAACGUAAACGUCAAUGAUAACAAAAAAGACGUUUCUAUAAAUUCUCUCAUCAAUGGGAAACUGUAAUGGCUGUCUACAGUCACGCAAGGGCGGUUACAGAGUCGAUAACGGAGCUAUCCUUAAUGAUGCUAAAACCCUAACUGAUAAGCAUAAAGGCCAAGAUCAAAGAAUGGAAUAAGCUAAAUCUAAAAUGGAUUCUCCAUCUAUGCCUUCUGUGAACGUCGAUUCUUCUCUCCGAGCUCUCGCUGGUCAAGCUGAAGGUUUCGGCCGCUCUGCCAUCGGCGGUCUUCACGGUCCACUUUAUCACGUUACUACUUUGGAAUGUCAGUUUAUUCCUGGUUUCUCUAUCUCUACAGUUCAAUUGAAGCAUGAUAAUGUUUGAUCUGAAUCUCUAGAUAGUUUAUUAUGAUUUCAUAACGAUUUCUUCUUUUGUUUAUUACGGUAAUUGAACUCGAUUGUUAUUUGUGAAUAAUUUAAUCAUUCCAUUGACACAUUUAUGGCUUACUCUGCUGGUUAGUAGCUUAAUAGCAUUAGAAUUGAUAAUCCACCAUUGAAGUUGUAUAUAUUAAGCACAAGCUUAAUGAUAUCUACAGUUGAAUUGAAGUAUAAUAUUAUUUGAUCUGAAUCUCUGGAGAGUUUAUUAUGAGUUCAUAACGAAUUCCUCUUCGGUUUGUUACAGAAAUUGAACUCAAUUGCUAUUUAUGAAUAAUUUCAUCCUUCCAUUGACAUAUUCAUGGUUUAUUCUGCUUGUUGGUAGCUUAAUAUCAUUAGAAAUGUUAAUCCACUAUUGAAGUUGUAUAUAUUAAGCACAAGCUUUAUGAUCUCUAUAGUUGAAUUGAAGCAUACUAUUCUUUGAUUUGAAACUCUCGAGAGUUUAUGAUUUCAUAACCAUUUUUUCUUCUAGCCAGUUAAUUCUGAUAAUGUUAUUGUUGGAUCUCUUUACUAUAUUCCUUUAAAUUCAGGUGCGUAUCAAUAUAAUCAUUCUUUUUGAUUUCUUGAUCUAUUAUUGCUUGAUUGAAACAUAUUUUAAUGUUUUUUACUUUUUUUUUCAAAUGUUUGCAGUUCCUAGUGAGCCAUUAUAUCCUGUAGAGAGCUUGGUACUAGUGCAUUUAUUGAUAUCUUAUAGGCUUAUUGAAUAUGAUUAUCAUUUUGUCAAUAUACUUGGAAUGAAAUUAUCAUUAGAUUUUUUUUCUCAAAUCAAUUCAGAGGCUGAAACAGAGUUCCAUAACUUCUUUCAACAAGGAUACUCUAAGAAGGUUUGCAGAAACAGUCUCAUUGGAUCCAGCAAAACAUAUGUCGUGGCUUGUUUAAAACAUUAUUUUUCUUGGUCUUAUUGGAUUCAUCGAUGGAGCAGAAGAUUGACAAGCAUAAUAAUUAUGGAUGGAGACUGCAAUAUAUUUUUGGAGCAACUUUUUCAAGUCAAUAUUGGUGCCAAUUUGAGACAAUUCAAUGUUGAGAUAUUGCUUGCCUUGUUCUGGAGGUUGCUGGAGAAAUUUUUUACUACGGUUUCAUCAGGUUUCUACAAGGUGAAAGUGGAAAAUGGAGUCACUUUCUCGGGGAACUGCUAAGCUUAAUGGUUGAAUUUAAAACAUUGUUACUAUCUGAUAAAAAUGUGCUUUUCUCAUUUUUUACAUCUGUUCUGGGCUGCUCACGCAAUAAUCUUCUAUUGCUAGAAACAAUUGGAGAAAGGUUUGAAAAAUCUAAAAAGAAUCAGAUCAUGCAUUCCAUUGUUGGCUUUUCUCUAACCUUCCUUCUUUUGCACUGCUAAACAUCCUUUCUUUGGUCAAAGGAGUGGAUGGUCAACUCUUACAUGUAAAAGAUGUUAAAAUAUUGGCUAGCAUUCUUUUGAAAAGGCGCCAUGAAUAUCAUAUUCAACAUGCAGAGUCUUGUCAAAAGUUGUCAAAGACAGAGGUUUAUAUCCUCUGCCUUCUACUAGAGACCUGUGCUGAAUUUGUAUCUUCUUCACCUGAUGAAUGUGAAGACCUACUAUUGGAGGUGUUGCAGCAGGGUGAGCCAGCCUCUAAAGAUCCAGCUGUUUUGCUGCCUUUCAUAAUUGUCUUGAGGAGUCUCACUAACUCAUCUUUUGGAGCUAUGAGUAAUAAAAAUCAGUUAUGCUUAAGUCAGAUGAUGAAGUUGAGAAUGUGAUUGCAAAAGUAUAGAAUGGAAUGUCUGAAAAAGAUGUGGUUGCAGGUCAAAAGAAAAUUAUUUCAGAGGUUGUUGGUAUGAAGGUGGGAAGACCUGUCUCUCUUUCCAAGUUUGGUACCAACUGUGGAGGCCUUUUAUUUUUUUAUUAUUGAUUAUGUUUUGUUUGUAUUUCCAGCUUUUCGAACUUAACUGCAGCUUCAAGCAAUCUGAUUUAGCUAAAAAUCAGUUAGAAAGUUUAGACAGAUGCAUGUAGAGAAGUUGUUAAAAGAAUUCAAAUAAUU